CGCUCGCAGACUGCCCGCAGACUGUGGCGGCGCCACAGACGGGCACGGCCGUGGUCAGCGCGUGUCUGUCUGCCGUCUGUGAGUGUUUAACUGACCCGAGAGUUACAGGCGGGCUGCAAACGGGUCCCAGCGACGGGCGCGGACAGGAGGCCUCGCGGCGGCCCGGCGCGCGCCUCACUGCGUGCGCGUGUUUGACGGAGCCACGCGUACAGAGUGGUUUUCCACGGUGAAAAGUUUUUUUUUUAAAAAAAUGUCUGUGUCACCAGACAGCUGUUCAUAAACACACAGCAGUCUAAGAUGGCUGGGUGACACAAUGGGAACUGCUUUUUUGGAUCCUCCUCUUUCAGCUUUUUGAGCACUGCUGAAGAGGCGAGAAGGGAGUCUCUGGUGAACAGGGGUUCAGAGGCAGAGGAAACAAGCCACCUGCAGCUCUGACAGGAGGCUUUGACCUUCACCAGGCUCUCCCCGCUGCAGACUAUUUUCAGGGGCGGCAUGAAGUCUGGGAGAGGCACCGGCCAGGAGUCCAUCAAGUCAGUGACUCCUGGGCGUUACUUAGACACACGGGGAACAGAAAAGAUAUGCAGAUGAGACUCUCGAUGAUGAAGACAGGUCAGUGCUGGAAAAUGAUGCCCAGAAAGGGGUGUUUUAUUGCUGUCAAACUUUACAGAAAUGAUUUAAGAGCACCAAGUAGGCAGGGCAUGCUACACAGAAUACACAACCUGUCUCUGCCACAUUUGUAGUAAGUUACCCUAAACCACAAAAGAAUAUAACAUGCAACUCAUUGCGGUCUGUCAUAUUAAAUAAAUACGAACUGGCUUGCUCA
rnacentral:lncRNA from 1 species